GAGAGGGCCCGACAACAGAUAGAACUGCUAAUUCAUCAUGCCCGGGGUUAGACUCCCCGGCCCACUUA
rnacentral:tRNA from 1 species